rnacentral:rRNA from 1 species
AGGACGAACGCUGGCGGCGUGCUUAACACAUGCAAGUCAAGGGGGCCCAGCAAUGGGCAACCGGCGAACGGGUGCGUAACACGUGAGCAACCUACCGAAAUGUGGGGGAUAGCCGGCCUAACGGCCGAGUAAUACCGCAUACGCUCUCGAUGAGGCAUUUCAUUGAGAGGAACCUACGGGACAUUUCGAGGGGCUCGCGGCCUAUCAGCUAGUUGGAGAGGUAACGGCUCACCAAGGCAACGACGGGUAGC